CCGCCUCUGCUUACAUGGCUGAGGAGCAUCUUGUGCUUCGAGCAGCAGGCUGCAGAGCAGAACUCGAUGUCGCCGUCGUCGCCCGGUGCCGUCACCAGAGUCUUGGAUAUCGAGAGGCAGUAAGCACACGAGCGACAGUGUUUACCCCACUUCCCUUCCAGCUCUUGACAGAAGAGUGUCUUGCAGGCUGUGAGGAGAGAAAGAACUGUGUCUGCCACACAUCCUGCACGGUGAACUCGAGCCCUCCUGUGGCGGCAGUUUUCUGGCAGCCUUCUUCAUCUUGGAUGUGACAGAGGAGAGACACGCAUUGCUGCACAGCUCCUUCAUAGUUCCCAAAUGAUCCACCGGAGCCAGGAUGAUGUUUUGAGGCCGUGUGAUCACCCUGCAGAAGUAAGAUGAGGCUUCCCACAAUCAGACGAGCAGGAUCAUCGAGGGACCCAGAGGAUGCGUCGCUGCCUAAUGACGUGCCAGCA